rnacentral:rRNA from 1 species
AGUGAACGCUGGCGGUAGGCCUAACACAUGCAAGUCGAACGGCAGCACAGGAGAGCUUGCUCUCUAGGUGGCGAGUGGCGGACGGGUGAGGAAUACAUCGGAAUCUGCCCAGUCGUGGGGGAUAACGUAGGGAAACUUACGCUAAUACCGCAUACGACCUUCGGGUGAAAGAGGGGGAUCGCAAGACCUCUCGCGAUUGGAUGAGCCGAUGUCGGAUUAGCUAGUUAGCGGGGUAAUGGCCCACCAAGGCGACGAUCCGUAGCUGGUCUGAGAGGAUGAUCAGCCACACUGGAACUGAGACACGGUCCAGACUCCUACGGGAGGCAGCAGUGGGGAAUAUUGGACAAUGGGCGCAAGCCUGAUCCAGCCAUACCGCGUGGGUGAAGAAGGCCUUCGGGUUGUAAAGCCCUUUUGUUGGGAAAGAAAUCUUUCAGGCUAAUACCCUGGGAGGAUGACGGUACCCAAAGAAUAAGUACCGGCUAACUUCGUG